rnacentral:rRNA from 1 species
GGGUUGUGAGGUUAAGCGACCAAGCGUACACGGUGGAUGCCCUGGCAGUCAGAGGCGAUGAAGGACGUGCUAAUCUGCGAAAAGCGCCGGCGAGGUGAUAUGAACCCUUGACCCGGCGAUGUCCGAAUGGGGAAACCCAGUGUGAUUCGUCACACUAUCGUUAGCUGAAUACAUAGGCUAACGAGGCGAACCGGGGGAACUGAAACAUCUAAGUACCCCGAGGAAAAGAAAUCAACCGAGAUUCCCCCAGUAGCGGCGAGCGAACGGGGAGGAGCCCAGAGCCUGAAUCAGCUUGUGUGUUAGUGGAAGCGUCUGGAAAGUCGCACGGUACAGGGUGAAAGUCCCGUACACGAAAACGCACAGGCUGUGAGCUCGAUGAGUAGGGCGGGACACGUGGUAUCCUGUCUGAAUAUGGGGGGACCAUCCUCCAAGGCUAAAUACUCCUGACUGACCGAUAGUGAACCAGUACCGUGAGGGAAAGGCGAAAAGAACCCCGGCGAGGGGAGUGAAAAAGAACCUGAAACCGUGUACGUACAAGCAGUGGGAGCCUCUUUUAUGGGGUGACUGCGUACCUUUUGUAUAAUGGGUCAGCGACUUAUAUUCUGUAGCAAGGUUAACCGUAUAGGGGAGCCGAAGGGAAACCGAGUCUUAACUGGGCGUUAAGUUGCAGGGUAUAGACCCGAAACCCGGUGAUCUAGCCAUGGGCAGGUUGAAGGUUGGGUAACACUAACUGGAGGACCGAACCGACUAAUGUUGAAAAAUUAGCGGAUGACCUGUGGCUGGGGGUGAAAGGCCAAUCAAACCGGGAGAUAGCUGGUUCUCCCCGAAAGCUAUUUAGGUAGCGCCUCGUGAAUUCAUCUCCGGGGGUAGAGCACUGUUUCGGCUAGGGGGCCAUCCCGGCUUACCAACCCGAUGCAAACUGCGAAUACCGGAGAAUGUUAUCACGGGAGACACACGGCGGGUGCUAACGUCCGUCGUGAAGAGGGAAACAACCCAGACCGCCAGCUAAGGUCCCAAAGUCAUGGUUAAGUGGGAAACGAUGUGGGAAGGCCCAGACAGCCAGGAUGUUGGCUUAGAAGCAGCCAUCAUUUAAAGAAAGCGUAAUAGCUCACUGGUCGAGUCGGCCUGCGCGGAAGAUGUAACGGGGCUAAACCAUGCACCGAAGCUGCGGCAGCGACGCUUAUGCGUUGUUGGGUAGGGGAGCGUUCUGUAAGCCGUUGAAGGUGUGCUGUGAGGCAUGCUGGAGGUAUCAGAAGUGCGAAUGCUGACAUAAGUAACGAUAAAGCGGGUGAAAAGCCCGCUCGCCGGAAGACCAAGGGUUCCUGUCCAACGUUAAUCGGGGCAGGGUGAGUCGACCCCUAAGGCGAGGCCGAAAGGCGUAGUCGAUGGGAAACAGGUUAAUAUUCCUGUACUUGGUGUUACUGCGAAGGGGGGACGGAGAAGGCUAUGUCGGCCGGGCGACGGUUGUCCCGGUUUAAGCAUGUAGGCGGAGGUUCCAGGUAAAUCCGGUACCUUAUUAAACGCUGAGGUGUGAUGACGAGGCACUACGGUGCUGAAGUGACAAAUGCCCUGCUUCCAGGAAAAGCCUCUAAGCAUCAGGUAACACGAAAUCGUACCCCAAACCGACACAGGUGGUCAGGUAGAGAAUACCAAGGCGCUUGAGAGAACUCGGGUGAAGGAACUAGGCAAAAUGGUGCCGUAACUUCGGGAGAAGGCACGCUGAUAUGUAGGUGAAGUGGUUUACCCAUGGAGCUGAAAUCAGUCGAAGAUACCAGCUGGCUGCAACUGUUUAUUAAAAACACAGCACUGUGCAAACACGAAAGUGGACGUAUACGGUGUGACGCCUGCCCGGUGCCGGAAGGUUAAUUGAUGGGGUUAUCCCUCGGGAGAAGCUCUUGAUCGAAGCCCCGGUAAACGGCGGCCGUAACUAUAACGGUCCUAAGGUAGCGAAAUUCCUUGUCGGGUAAGUUCCGACCUGCACGAAUGGCGUAAUGAUGGCCAGGCUGUCUCCACCCGAGACUCAGUGAAAUUGAACUCGCUGUGAAGAUGCAGUGUACCCGCGGCAAGACGGAAAGACCCCGUGAACCUUUACUAUAGCUUGACACUGAACACUGGUCCUUGAUGUGUAGGAUAGGUGGGAGGCUUUGAAGUGUGGACGCCAGUCUGCAUGGAGCCGCCCUUGAAAUACCACCCUUUAAUGGCUGGUGUUCUAACGUGGGCCCGUAAUCCGGGUUGCGGACAGUGUCUGGUGGGUAGUUUGACUGGGGCGGUCUCCUCCUAAAGAGUAACGGAGGAGCACGAAGGUCAGCUAAUCCUGGUCGGACAUCAGGAGGUUAGUGCAAUGGCAUAAGCUGGCUUGACUGCGAGCGUGACGGCGCGAGCAGGUGCGAAAGCAGGUCAUAGUGAUCCGGUGGUUCUGAAUGGAAGGGCCAUCGCUCAACGGAUAAAAGGUACUCCGGGGAUAACAGGCUGAUACCGCCCAAGAGUUCAUAUCGACGGCGGUGUUUGGCACCUCGAUGUCGGCUCAUCACAUCCUGGGGCUGAAGUAGGUCCCAAGGGUAUGGCUGUUCGCCAUUUAAAGUGGUACGCGAGCUGGGUUUAGAACGUCGUGAGACAGUUCGGUCCCUAUCUGCCGUGGGCGCUGGAGAACUGAGGGGGGCUGCUCCUAGUACGAGAGGACCGGAGUGGACGCAUCACUGGUGUUCGGGUUGUCAUGCCAAUGGCACUGCCCGGUAGCUAAAUGCGGAAGAGAUAAGUGCUGAAAGCAUCUAAGCACGAAACUUGCCCCGAGAUGAGUUCUCCCUGACUCCUUGAGAGUCCUGAAGGAACGUUGAAGACGACGACGUUGAUAGGCCGGGUGUGUAAGCGCAGCGAUGCGUUGAGCUAACCGGUACUAAUGAACCGUGAGGCUUAACCUUACAACGCCGAAG